GAUGAACGCCGGAGGCGUGCCUUAUACAUGCACGCAGAGCGAACGCACGAGAAGAUUGCUUUUCUGAUGUUAGCGGCGGUCGGGUGAGAAACCCUAGCUUAUCCUACUUCCUAAACUGGGGCAAUUUCGGUAAUCCGGCGUCAUUCCGGGAUAAUUCUUGCAACUGGAUGGCUGAAAAGUGAAGGAGGCUCUUGGUGUCGCUCAAAGCCGGAACCGGUCUGCUUUAGCUAGUUGGUAAGGUAAAGGCUUACCAAGGCAACGUUGCACAGCCGACCUGAGAGGGUGAUCGGCCACACUGGAACUGAGACACGGUCCAGACUCCUACGGGAGGCAGCAGUAGGGAAUCUUCCGCAAUGGGCGAAAGCCUGACGGAGCAACGCCGCGUGAGUGAUGAAGGUCUUCGGAUCGUAAAACUCUGUUAUUAGGGAAGAACAUAUGUGUAAGUAACUGUGCACAUCUUGACGUUACCUAAUCAGAAAGCCACGGCUAACUACGUG
rnacentral:rRNA from 1 species